rnacentral:lncRNA from 1 species
GGGAGGUCCAUGCUGGUCCUAAAAGAUAUCUGUCUGGAGCCUCCCCACUUGUCUAUUGAGGUGUCUGAGAGGGCUGAGGUGGGCAAGGCGCUGAGAGUCCAUGUCACCCUCACCAACACCUUAAUGGUGGCUCUGAGCAGCUGCACGAUGGUGCUGGAAGGAAGCGGCCUCAUCAAUGGGCAGAUAGCAAAGGACCUUGGGACUCUGGUGGCUG